rnacentral:rRNA from 1 species
AUACGGAGGAUCCGAGCGUUAUCCGGAUUUAUUGGGUUUAAAGGGUGCGUAGGCGGCCUUUUAAGUCAGCGGUGAAAGUCUGUGGCUCAACCAUAGAAUUGCCGUUGAAACUGGGGGGCUUGAGUAUGUUUGAGGCAGGAGGAAUGCGUGGGGUAGCGGUGAAAUGCAUAGAUAUCACGCAGAACCCCGAUUGCGAAGGCAGCCUGCCAGGCCAUGACUGACGCUGAUGCACGAAAGCGUGGGGAUCAAACAGGAUUAGAUACCCUGGUAGUCCACGCAGUAAACGAUGAUCACUAGCUGUUUGCGAUACACUGUAAGCGGCACAGCGAAAGCGUUAAGUGAUCCACCUGGGGAGUACGCCGGCAACGGUGAAACUCAAAGGAAUUGACGGGG